AAGGCAGCAGCUCUCCCAGGCCCCAGGAGGCAAAGGAGCAGGACCCAAGGCUCCAAGAGGAACAGGAAGGACCUCAGCAGCCUCACUUGCUCCCCUGUGUCCCUCUGCUGGCCUGAGGUGUCACGCUCACUCAGGAGGCCUCCUCACCCAGCCAGGAAACAGGCUUUGAGAAGUCACCCAUGAGCCUGCCUGUCAUGGGGCUAUGGAGGCCCAGCUGUGGAUUGAAGCCAGGUCAGUGGAGCCCAAGGCUGAGCUCUGUAGAGGAGCUGAGGAGGUGGCUGUGGCCCAACUGUGGAUGCCUUUUGGUCACAGUGACACUACAGCUGAUUGUGACAAUGGUUCCUUUGGGGUUUAUGGUACACACACCACAGCCCAUCCUGAAGCAGCACUGUGCCUCUGGACAAAAGCCUACAGUGGUGACCUUGCCUUUGUCCCCUCUGGCCUUUCUCUUCUGGGUGUCACACACUCUGCAUUGACUGGACUAUAACCCCUUAACCUCGUCUAAGCCGUUAAAAAAGCUUAAAAGUGAGAGAAAUCUUACAUAAUCA